rnacentral:rRNA from 1 species
AACUGCCGGUGACAAACCGGAGGAAGGUGGGAUGACGUCAAGUCCUCAUGGCCCUUAUGUCCAGGGCUACACACGUGCUACAAUGGUCGCUACAGAGUGACGCGAAGCCGCGAGGUGGAGCAAAUCGCAGAAAAGCGACCUUAGUUCGGAUUGGAGUCUGAAACCCGACUCCAUGAAGGUGGAAUCGCUAGUAAUCGCGCAUCAGCAUGGCCGCGGUCGAAUACGUUCCCGGGCCUU